rnacentral:rRNA from 1 species
GUCGAGAAUCUUUCACAAUGGGGGCAACCCUGAUGGAGCGACGCCGCGUGGAGGAUAAGGUCUUCGGAUUGUAAACUCCUGUCAUGCGUGAACAAGGUUGCUUGGUUAAUACCUGGGCAAAUUGAUGGUAACGCAAGAGGAAGAGACGGCUAACUCUGUGCCAGCAGCCGCGGUAAUACAGAGGUCUCAAGCGUUGUUCGGAAUCACUGUGCGUAAAGGGUGCGUAGGUGGCGUGGUAAGUCAGAUGUGAAAGCCCGGGGCUCAACCUCGGAACUGCAUCCGAAACUGCCAUGCUAGAGUACUGGAGAGGUGACUAGAAUUCUCGGUGUAGCAGUGAAAUGCGUAGAUAUCGAGAGGAAUACCAAAGGCGUAGGCAGGUCACUGGACAGUUACUGACACUGAGGCACGAAGGCCAGGGGAGCGAACGGGAUUAGAAACCCUGGUAGUCC